GGCCCCAUGACACGCCCGCCCGCACGCCCGCCCGCCGGGCCCUGCCCCCAGCCCGCGGAGCCGAGCUUCUCCUCCGGCUGCUUGGCGCGCGAGCUCUGGGCACGUGUGUGUCUGCGGAGUGGGCUGUGACUGGGAGGGCCAGUGUACUCUGAGACGUGAGACGGUCAAGCCUGCGGAUAAAGGUGCGGCUGCCUGUGCUGGGGACCUGCUCUUUGCUGCUGGAACCUCCAGCUUUUCAAUUGUGUUUAGUCUUCUACAAGUGAGGCCACCUGUGUGAUAGAGUGACAACUCUUGUGUAGCCUGUUCCCUCAUCUGUUCUCAGCUUUAGAAAUGCUACAUCCUGGAGCUGUGCACCCAAACAGGCUUAGUCUGUAUGUAUUGCUUGAGUGCCUGGAAUGCACACCUGGGACCUCUCCACUGUCGCCCACUGUUUAGAAAAGAAAACACAGUUUUCAAGGAGAAAUAUGUGCCAGUGGAGGAAGUCUUUUCCCCAGGUCACAAGCCAGGGUCUCAGAAGGACUCUCAGAUUGUGCAUUCCUGCUGUUCCCCAGGCUGAGAGGACAAAACAGGUGAGCACUUGGGCCUCUCACUAGGUGGCUGAUAAUCAGAUAAAAACCCUAAAGGACAACUGUCAAAAGGAGAGCAAGAGAAAAGGAUUCUUUCCUGAGCAUAAUUCCUUCUCUCAGAACUGGAGCUGUCCUUUCCUGCUUAUCUGUGUAAAUGACAGAAAGGAAAAACGAAGACAAAACAAAACCAACAGAAAACCCCCAAAACCCCAACUCUGUUUACACUGAGCCAAAUCACCAAAAAGAAUUAGAACCCCUCGCCCAUGGCACUGCUUGUGAAGUGCCAGGAAUAGUGCUUACCCUAGUGGCCUGAAGUAAUCAGGCAUCUUGCUCAGCAUCCCUUUCUGCACUGGGGAUUGAUUUAGGCCACUGGGAAAAUGAGGACCCAGGGCUUUGCAGCUGAGCCACAACUCUUUUUCUCAGUCACAGGAAACACUGGCAUUGGGGGCUCACACAGCAUCAAGUCCCACUUGUUCUGAGGGUUUGGUCCGAUAGGAAAAGAAGAGCUGCUCAAACUGAUAUUUCUUUUCUUUGUCUUUCAAGUGGUGUUCUUCCCAGAGGCAGCACUUGUGCUUUGUCUUUUUGUUGGGUUUUGUUUUGGGACCUACUUCUAGUGUUAGGAUCCCAGUGUUCUUUAAGAGUUUUUUUUUUUUUUUUUUUUCCCUUGAAGUAUUUGUCUUCCUCCCCAAUUCUCUAAAACUGAGGGCUUUCAAGGAGUACACUAGACAUCACAAUUUUCUGGCUUCUGCAAAAGCUACCUAGUCAUUCAUGGUACAGGGAAAGUAAUGGUAAAGUCUGCAUUUACCAUCUGGGCGGGGUAUGGAGGUUUGUGUAGGAUAACACACAGCUCUUCUGCCUAACCUUCCUUAGAAAGAACCUUAAGUAAAAUUGAGAACCGUGCAGUAAAUACGAGCUGUUUAAUUUCAACAAAACUUAAUUCUAGCCUAACUGCGACUGACUCCUACGGGAGAAAGUUAGUAAUGAACUUUUACUGGCUCCUGAACAGUUUUUCAACCAAUGAAGAGCAUGAGCCCAUAUUUCUAUUUACCUCAUGCUACCACAAAGAGAUGCCUCCUCAUCCCAUAGCCGUGUAUAUAAACGUAAAGAUUGAGGUUUGGUGGCCAUGCUAGGAGAGCAGAGGGCAGAGCAAGAGGUGCAGAGCAAGUAGAUCCUGGCAGUGGAAUACUGUUGUAAUUUCAGAGUCAGGGUUAGUAAUGUCCUUAUGUUCCCUCUCUCUCUGAACCUUUGCCCUGGAUAAGGGGGAGUUGAAUUUAGCUUUAAGACUGGAUUAGUAAGAAGAGAAUGUGAAUGUUGGUGUGACAGGUGGAAUGGGGGAGGUCAGUAAAGCCCAGGGGCCAACAAUUAGCAGCUUCUUUUCCUUUGUACACAAAACCCAGCCAUUACUAGUUUCUCUUCUAAAACAUUUUUUAUAAUAAACAGUAAGCUGGUGCAGUGUAUGUCCAGUUCAUAUGUUGGUAAGGAUGUUUUGCUUACAAUUUAAUGAUGUUAUUUUUUAGUGAUAUGAUUCUAUUAGAAUUACUGAGAGUUUUAAUAAAAAGUUUAUAGAUGACAAAAAGGCUGAAGU